GGAAGCUACCCAUCUUUACAUAUAUUCUGAAGGCACAGGGCAGGUAUUGACACUACAUGACUUCUGCCAACUGCUUUGAAUGUCAAAGUGAAGAAAUUCAAUGAAGCACAGGUAAAUGGUGGGAGUAACUAGGACUCUCUUAAGGUAGCCAAAUGCCUCAUCAUCUAAUUAGUGACUUACAUGAAUGGAUGAAAGAGAUUCC
rnacentral:ncRNA from 1 species